UACGUAGGGGGCAAGCGUUAUCCGGAUUUACUGGGUGUAAAGGGAGCGCAGGCGGCGCGGCAAGUCUGAUGUGAAAGCCCGGGGCUCAACCCCGGGACUGCAUUGGAAACUGUCGCGCUAGAGUGUCGGAGAGGUAAGUGGAAUUCCUAGUGUAGCGGUGAAAUGCGUAGAUAUUAGGAGGAACACCAGUGGCGAAGGCGACUUUCUGGACCGUAACUGACGUUGAGGCACGAAAGUGUGGGGAGCAAACAGG
rnacentral:rRNA from 1 species